rnacentral:misc_RNA from 1 species
GAUGAAGAACGUAGCGAAAUGCGAUACUUGGUGUGAAUUGCAGAAUCCCGUGAACCAUCGAGUCUUUGAACGCAAGUUGCGCCCGAAGCCGUCAGGCCGAGGGCACGCCUGCCUGGGCGUCACACGCCGUUGCCCCCCCGCGCCCCGCACCCAACUCUUUGGGAGCGACCGCGGGGCGGGCUGAUGAUGGCCUCCCGUGCGCUCCGCCGCGCGGUUGGCCCAAAUACCGAGUCCCCGGCGACGUGCGCCACGACGAUCGGUGGUUGAGAGACCUCUGUCGCAAGUCGUGCGCGCCCGUCGCGUCACGCGGGCUCGCAUAGCGCCUCGCGCCGCACCCGGUGCGGAGCUUUCAACGCGACCCCAGGUCAGGCGGGGUUACCCGCUGAAUUUAAGCAUAUAAUAAGCGGAGGA